rnacentral:piRNA from 1 species
UUUCCUGACAGAAAAAGUACUGACUGUGAGU